ACAGAACAGAAACCCACAUCGGAGUCCUGCCAAAACCCGUGGACAGAUGUCUAUCAGACAGACACAGGUCUAUCAGACGGACACAGGUCUAUCAGACGGACACAGGUCUGUCAGACGGACACAGGUCUAUCAGACAGACACAGGUCUAUCAGACAGACACAGGUCUAUCAGACGGACACAGGUCUAUCAGACGGACACAGGUCUAUCAGACGGACACAGGUCUAUCAGACAGACACAGGUCUGUCAGACGGACACAGGUCUAUCAGACGGACACAUGUCUAUCAGAUGGCCAGAGUCUAUCAGACGGCCA
ensembl:lncRNA